rnacentral:rRNA from 1 species
AUUAUUUUUUUAGAUUAUUUUUUAUUGUUGAAAAAAUUAAAAACAAAUUGUUUUUUACAAUAAUUAAAAUUUAUAAUAUUUCCAUUUUUAAUUUUUAGUUUUAAAUAAAAAUUACAAAUAUGAAAAAUAAAAAAAUUUUGUUAUAAAUUAAAUUAAUUUAUUUAUAUUAAAAAUAUUUUUUAUAAUUUUUAUUUUUUUUAUUUUUUUAAAAAAAAAAUAAUUUAAUUAUAAUUAUUUAUUUAAAUUUAAUAAUUAAAUAUAAAAUUUUUUAUUAAAUAAAUUUAAUAAUAAAUGUUUUUUAAAUUCUUCGACGGUUUUGAUUU